rnacentral:miRNA from 1 species
UGGUGCCAAAGGUAUUGCAGUUUUUGCCAUUACUUUCAGUGACAAAAACCACAAUUACUUUUGCACCAA